rnacentral:rRNA from 1 species
AUGGAUUAGUGGCGCACGGGGUGAGUAAUGCAUAGAUAACAUGCCCUUUAGUUUGGGAAUAGCCACUAGAAAUGGUAAAAAUAAUACCAAAUACUACCUUACGAGGGAAAGAUUUAUCGCUAAAGGAUUGGUCUAUGUCCUAUCAGCUUGUUGGUGAGAUAAAGGCUCACCAAGGCUAUGACGGGUAUCCGGCCUGAGAGGGUGAACGGACACACUGGAACUGAGACACGGUCCAGACUCCAUACGGGAGGCAGCAGUAGGGAAUAUUGCUCAAUGGGGGAAACCCUGAAGCAGCAACGCCGCGUGGAGGAUGAAGGUUUUAGGAUGUAAACUCCUUUUGAUUAGAGAAGAUA